rnacentral:rRNA from 1 species
GAUGAACGCUGGCGGCGUGCCUAAUACAUGCAAGUCGAGCGAACGGACGAGAAGCUUGCUUCUCUGAUGUUAGCGGCGGACGGGUGAGUAACACGUGGAUAACCUACCUAUAAGACUGGGAUAACUCCGGGAAACCGGAGCUAAUACCGGAUAAUAUUUUGAACCGCAUGGUUCAAAAGUGAAAGACGGUCUUGCUGUCACUUAUAGAUGGAUCCGCGCUGCAUUAGCUAGUUGGUAAGGUAACGGCUUACCAAGGCAACGAUGCAUAGCCGACCUGAGAGGGUGAUCGGCCACACUGGAACUGAGACACGGUCCAGACUCCUACGGGAGGCAGCAGUAGGGAAUCUUCCGCAAUGGGCGAAAGCCUGACGGAGCAACGCCGCGUGAGUGAUGAAGGUCUUCGGAUCGUAAAACUCUGUUAUUAGGGAAGAACAUAUGUGUAAGUAACUGUGCACAUCUUGACGGUACCUAAUCAGAAAGCCACGGCUAACUACGUG